rnacentral:tRNA from 1 species
GAAUAGUUGGUUCAGUGGUAUAGAGUAUUCGUCUUGUAUUCGGAAGACCCCUGGUUCGAACCAUGUCGAUUCG